UAGUGAUAGAUAUGGUCUUCCUA
rnacentral:siRNA from 1 species